rnacentral:rRNA from 1 species
GGAUUAGAAACCCUGGUAGUCCUUACUGUAAACUAUGUAUACUUGAUGUAACUGGACUCAACCCCAGUUGUGUCGGAGCUAACGCGUUAAGUAUACCGCCUGAGGAGUACAGUCGCAAGGCUGAAACUCAAAAGAAUUGACGGGGACCCGCACAAGCAGUGGAGCAUGUGGUUUAAUUCGAUGCAACGCGAAGAACCUUACCCAGGCUUGACAUGCAGUAGACCGAUCCAGAAAUGGAUCUUUCCUUAGGGACUGCUGCACAGGUGCUGCAUGGCUGUCGUCAGCUCGUGCCGUGAGGUGUUGGGUUAAGUCCCGCAACGAGCGCAACCCUUAUCAUUAGUUGCCAACAUUUAAGGUGGGAACUCUAAUGAGACUGCCUGGGUUAACC